CCAUCUCGAGUUCCUCCGCUACCUAGAACGCUUCGGCAAGAUCCGCCGGAACCGCUUGGAGCCCAGCACGCUACUUGCAGCAAGACCGAGCGAGCGGCGGAAGCUCCCUGCAACACCAAGCCCGUCCAUGGCGUCCCUCUCCCCCUCUGGCCACCUCCCGUGAGUCCUGUAUCUUCACCAAGAACAGGUUGAGAUGCCGCCCAAUUUUCAGAGAUCUUAGAGCUGGGUGAAGAUAUAGAUAAUUCAGAGAUGUUAGAGCUAGGUGAAGAUAUAGAUAAUUCUCAUAGUGGUUUGCUGCUGUAUGAAAUAAUGAAUAUGAUCACAUCUGUAUUCCUGAUUGACAUGGUUUGCUCGAUCGUAUACGCCGUUCUUUACACAGGCAUACUACUUUUGUACUGAUACUGAUCAUAUCAAAUGGAUAUGCUUGUAUUGGAAUCCUCCCAUCAUUGUUUACAAUUUUCUACAUCAGUAA